UUUAGGUUAGGUACAAGGAGCAUUGCUGCAGAGUGAAUGAGGAAGCCAAAAAACACCCACGAGGGGGAAGGAGAGAGAGAGAAGCAAUCACCUUCCACCACCCAGGAGGCUAUCACAGGUUGCGUUUGGUGGUGUACGUCCCUUUCAAGACCACAGCGGCUUACAGAAGAAUGGGACGGAGUCUGGUGUGGUCUUAGUUUCAUAAUAAAACUUGAGUGACUUCCUAGUGGCACUCUGCAUGCAAUUGGCAACGCUUUCCCAGGGGCAACCCGAGGAGUUGCCAACAGCGUAGAACUGGUAGCGACACUGCAGGGCCAGGGGGUUGCUCCCAUUCCCAUAGAAUCCAUGCAUGUAGCACAGUAGCAAUUUUACUUCCUGGGCUCCAGCUGGCCAGCACCUCCAGAGGUUCAGAGGGAUCACAAGUACAGCAUAGAGCCUGGACCGCAUCAGACUGCAGACACUUAUGAACAGCAGUGUACUGGUGUAACAGUGGGAUGUAAUGGCUCGUGUUCGGGACCUGUGAGGGGGCAUAGAAGAGAACAAACUUCUACACUCCCCCAUGUACACGGGGAGAAUCUGGGACCAAUAUUGCAGGUGAACAUGAAGCAGUGACCUAUGUGAAGAUGGCCAUAAUCAAUCAAGGACUUUUCCGGACUUUUCCUGCCUCAACAUCAGGGUAGGCACUGACAAGCCCACCCGACAUGUAUUUUCCAAUGGCCCCAAGCCAUUUCUUCUUGCUAGCCAAGAAGGGUGGCUGGCAGGAUGGAGAAGACAGUUAUGAUAUUUCUUGAGGGUCAGGUGCUUUAUCCUUCCACUUUUUGAGCUGUGAGGAAUGAAACCAUUUUCACCAGUGUUUCUCAUUUUUUCCAUACAGGAUUGUUACCUGAUAAACGCUGGGGAUGGCCCGAUUCACACUAAAGCAGGAGCCGUGCCAGGUGUGUGUCAAAGAGUGCUCCUUUGCUGAAAACUUUUUGUAGAUUACUGGUUGGCCUAAUUCCCAUAUCAAAGGAGGUUUUCCCCAGCCUAGUUUUUGUCCAUGUUUUGCUGUACUAUGCUUAGCUGUGCUGCCACUCGCUUGUGUAAAGCAGCUAUCGUCUCUACUAAGGUUUGUACCCAUUCAUCUGUUACCACCUUCCCUUCCCAGGCACUAGGUAGUUCUACUCCCAACCACCAACUUUCAGGCAUACGCAUUUCCCUUCCAGUCAUAACGUCAAAGGGAGGGUACCCAUGUAUUGCCUUAGAGCUUCUUAGAGCCAUUAAGAGGAUUGGUAGCUUUUCAUCCCCAUCACUCCCUGAGCUCUUUACUUGUUUUCUCAAAGCUUCCUUUAGCAUGCGAUUGGUUCAUUCAACUUGUCUAGAGGACUCAGGAUGUCCAGCUAUGUGGAAACAUUGCUUAAUGCCUAAAACCUUACAUAGCUCUUGCAUAACAUCUCCCACAAAAUGGGAUCCCAAAUCUGAAUCAAUUACUCUGGGAAUUCCCAUUCUUGAGAAAACUAUGUUAAAGAGCUGCUUAGCAGUGACUGAGGCAGAGUUGGUUUUAGUAGCAAUGGCUUCCACCCAUUUGGAGAUGGGAUCUACUAUUACCAGGCAGUAUUUAUUCUCUCUACUGGUGGUGGGUAAAGGGCCUAUGUAAUCUAUCUGAAUCUGGGACCAGGGACCCUCUAUUCUUUGGUGCCCCAAUGCAUUUUUUUGAACCUGGUGAUCAGCAUUAACCAUGGUGCACUGCAGACAAUUAUCACACCGCGUAUCUAUAUCCGCUUUCAUGCCUGGCCACCACCCUGUAUCUUUAACCCUAUUUAAAAUAUUCCUGUUUUCCUCUAUGCCCUUGCUCAUGCACAAACUGAAUCAGGUCCCCAGGUACCUGGCUGGAGACUAUCCAGUACCUUUGACCACCUGCAUCCACUGCCCACCAGACAUCUCCAACCUGCUCAAUCCUGUAUUUUCCUGUGGAAUCUUUCUCUGUCCUGGCUAAGGACUGGAUUUCUGUAGCCCCAGCUUGAAGGGUACUUAAGUCCAAGAUAUCUUUAUCUUUAUCAAGAUUCCUUUACCUAAAGUUUUUCCCCGAGUAGUUACUGCCUAUAUUUGUUCUACCUGGUCUGUGUCUCUAGUGUGGUUACUAGUAGCAGAAGUUUUGGCUAAGGCAUCAGCUCGGUUGUUCCAGUGUGCUUCUUCUGAUGUCCCUUUGUGUGAGUCACCCAGGUGUCCCCAGUUCUUUCCUUGAUAACCUGUUUAUCACUGGGUCUCCCUCCGGAGAUCCACUGAGAACUUAGAAUGUCCACUAGCAAUUGGGCUAAUAUCCCUGGGUUCCCCACUGUAACCCUCACAGUGGGUCUGCCCCAUAUGUCGCACUGAAAUCUUGCGAUUAGCUGGGGAGGCCUGCAGGGAACCGGGCUCCCCUACUGAUCAGCCGACUCCCUCGAGAGCCUCCACUGAGAAGAGGGGGCAGGGAUCUGGUUUUGACAGGGAGUAGAAUCACAGAAUAUCAGGGUUGGAAGGGACCUCAGGAGAUCAUCUAGUCCAACCCCCUGCUCAAAGCAGGACCAAUCCCCAAUUUUUGCCCCAAAUCCCUAAAUGGCCCCCUCAAGGAUUGAACUCACAACCCUGGGUUUAGCAAGCCAAUGCUCAAGCCACUGAGCUAUCCCUCCCCUCCAAACCUUAGGCGUGGGGGACGCACUCCGUACCAGGGUAGUGGGCCGGGGAGGGGAGCGUUCCCUGCAUUAACUCUUUUCCCCAUGACCUGAGACAAUUAAUCAGGAUGCUGAGGGGCUGACUAUCAUAUUUUCCCCUAACAUAUCCUCCCCUAACUUCUCCAGCUCCAUCCAAAUCAUGUUCCUAAGGAUCCCCUUCCCGGCGCUGCCCAGGGUUGUGGGAGGUAGGGGGAUUAGAAUUGGGAGGGCGACUGGCAGAGUGAGGACCAUUAUUCACAAAUGUGAUAGCCUGCACUGGCUCUGAAGUAGUCUUUCUGCUGAUUUGUCUUUUUAAGACAUCAGUCUCUCGCAGCAAAUCCCCUGCCUGUUUGAUUUUUGCCACUAGUUCAUUCCAGGUUAGGUGCUCUACCUCCACAGCCCCCAUGACCAUUUCUGUCUGAGAAUUUAGUCCUGCCUAAGUGCUCUGUACUAAUUCGGGUUCCUGAUAAUGGGAAGUAACAAUCCCAUUCUCUUCUGUCAGGUAAUGACCCAGAGAGAGCUGCCAGCAUCUUUUUUUGAAUUAGGUAAGCUUCGGGGGCCUCUCCUGGUUUCUGCUCUUCCAUUAUAUAUAGUUUCUUGAGGGAAGCAGGAGGCAGUAAUAUUUUGAGAGCAUUUAUCAUCCAUUCCCAGGGUCCAGGGGCAGUCCACUCCUAAGAACCUAUGCCUAUGUCCAGAGCAUCUUCAUCACAAGGAGAGGCGUAUAACUGAGCCAAUUGGGUUAAGUCCAUGCCAUCAGCAGAGGGGUACAUUUGCCAAACGCAAGCCGGCAGUGUCACAGUUCAGUGGCCCCAGUCUCUCGGCAAUAGCCUUGGCCUGACAAGGAGACCAUCUUACUAAGUCCGUGACCAGCUCCAUCGUGGGAAGAUUGGCUCUUGCAACUGUGUGUUUAACCUCCCUGGUGGAAACAGGGGCAAUAUUAUGCAUGUGUGGCCAAUCAGAGUUGAAUGGGUUUUUGGGAUCAGCAUUAGGGGGUCUCUCUAUUUUCCCAGGGGGUUCCAAAUUGCAAUCCUCUCUCAACCUUACAGCUGUUACAACCUCCUUAUGGGCACUAAAUUCGGCAUGCAAUUUACUAAUCUCUGCCUCACACUUCUGAUGGCCUGCUGCUACCUUGGCUGCCUUAUUCUCAUCUGCCAGGAAGCGAGUUGCUACUCUCACUUCUUCUAACAAAACUGUUGUGUGUGUUCGCUCUUUGCUAUACUGUUCUGCAUUCCUGCUGGUCUCUUCUCUCUCUUGCAUAUUUUUAAGAACAGUCACCAUUUUAAGCUUUUCUGCUAUAAAUUCACACCCAUCUGUCUGUUCAAACACUGUUGUAACUGCUUUUUCUCCAGCUCCAGUUCCUGCCUUGCCUUUACCAUUUCACCCAUGUCCAGACAUGCAUAAAAUAAUGCCCAUGCAGUAGUCGCAUCCUUUGUGCUACCCCGUGGCUUAAAGAUUGUGCAAUAUUGUUCAAAGUUCAGACUCGCUUCAAUUAGGGGAUUCUCACCCUUAAAGCACCCCCUUUCCCCUUGUUCAUUUCCCAUCUCUCUAACCUGUUGGUUUUCUCCUGUCUCAAGCGAGCAGCCAAGGUGGGUUUUUUUAGCUGUCUCUACUUCCUUUAUCUCACUAAUGAUCCCUACCAAAAGCCCUUUCACACAGUCACAGUAUUGCUCUAAAAUUUUUACUUUUAAGGCACAACCCUAACUCCUUAUUGCACGGUCCUACUGUUAUUCUAAGCACGCUUCUUAACUUAAAAGUUACAGGAUGUUACCAAAUAUUCUAUGAGAGAGGAACAUCACUGAAGGAGCUUAGUCUGAAAAAGGAAGAGAGAGUUUGCACAGGUCUGUGCCUCAGUUUCCCCACUCUGGAGCAACUACUCAACAAGUACCAUAUGAUUAGGGUCAUGUGCUGCCCACAUUCUCCACCAAUUUGUUACCAGAUUUGCCCGUUACUUUGGGGUAUGCUCAUUAGGGUUACUCUUCUGUGGGGGGAGAGGAUUCUGUAAUUCUAUCAAUGUACUGCUUGUGUUCCCAUACAGAGCUCUACCUCUCCCUGCUAUAAGUUCCCUCCCAAUGGAGCUAUCCUGCAGGACCUAGGUUUCCCUAGGCUGGGUUCUUCCAGCCCCAGAAUCAGAUAGAGACACACACAUGCACACGCACACUAACAGAGAGCAUCUGAGAGGACUGGGUUAAUCAGCACUCCCAAGUUGACCUCUUAUAUGUCCCUGGACUCAUGCGGCUGGGUCCAGCAGCACCUCCAAGCUGUCACCCUCAUAUGUCCCAAUGGGAGCUUCGGGGGAGGUACCUGGAAGCGAGAGCAAAACAGAGCCCUCUGCCCCCCACCCCACCCUGCAGGGACCUGGUUCUGGCUGCUUCCUGGAGCGGAGCGGGGCCGGGCCAGGCCAGGCAGGCAGGGUGCCUGCCCUGCCCCUGGUGCAUGCUGCUGCCAUCUCGGAGCCACUCUAGACAAAACACUAUGAUAAAAAGCAGCAGAUGCCACACCACAGUGGGGGAGCCUAUUAUGGGACAUCCUGAGGUUUUCACUGGAAACGUGGCCUCUGGUUCUUACUCCAGGACAGAAAGGACAGUAACUGGAAAUGUGCCUUUAAUCGUAUCAACCUGGCUUACCAGAUGGCAUGUUGAGAUCCUCCUUCCAAGACUGCAGGUCCAGAUAACUUUCAUCCAAGAGUUUAAAAAGAGCUGGCUGAGGAACUUCCUGGACUAUUAAUGUUACCACAAUGCAACCGAAUCCGAAGCAGAGAGGAAGGAGGGCGGGUAGUAGAAUGAAGAUAGGGACCAUACAUCUCAAAGACCCUCCAGUUACAAACACCAGAGCAUGCCUGAUGUCGAGGGAGUGAGGUGUCCAGUCUUUGGAAGAAUCAUGGGGUUUGGGGAAGAAUACAGCUGCAAAUGUUUCAAGCCUCCCUCCUCUGUCCCAAAGGCUAUCUCAGAUAAGGCGGUGAAAAAAACCACACACGCAAUGAAAUGUUCUCUGAGCUCAUGCAGUUGUCCGGCACUGACAGAGCUGUAUGGAGGGACACAAUAGCAGAGUACAGGACAGUGGCCGAUGAACAAGAGGACAGGUGGCGGCAGAAAGAUCAGAGGAGGUAUGAGGCAAUGCUGGGAUUACUACGGGACAUGCUCGGCAUCUGGUGGAGGUUCAUGAACAGCAGCAGGAUCACAGACUGCCGCUGCAGCCCCUGCUUAACUGCCCUCCCUCCUCCCGAAGUUCCAUAGCCUCCUCACCCAGAUGCCCAAGAACAUGGUGUGGGGGGGGGGGGGGGAGGCUCCACGCACCCAACCACUUCCAGUGGGCAGCCCAAGCAACAGAAGACUGUCAUUCAACAAGUUUUGAAGUGGCCUUUUCCUUCCCUUCUCCCACACCCCACCCGGGCUACCUUGUGAGUUAUCUCCCUAUUUUUAUAAUCAAUUAAUAAAGAAUACAUGUUUUCU